AGCGAACGCUGGCGGCAGGCUUAACACAUGCAAGUCGAGCGGGCACCUUUCGGGGUGUCAGCGGCGGACGGGUGAGUAACGCGUGGGAACGUGCCCUCUGGUUCGGAAUAACUCAGGGAAACUUGAGCUAAUACCGGAUACGCCCUUUUGGGGAAAGGCUUGCUGCCGGAGGAUCGGCCCGCGUCUGAUUAGCUAGUUGGUGAGGUAACGGCUCACCAAGGCGACGAUCAGUAGCUGGUCUGAGAGGAUGAUCAGCCACACUGGGACUGAGACACGGCCCAGACUCCUACGGGAGGCAGCAGUGGGGAAUAUUGGACAAUGGGCGCAAGCCUGAUCCAGCCAUGCCGCGUGAGUGAUGAAGGCCUUAGGGUUGUAAAGCUCUUUUAUCCGGGACGAUAAUGACGGUACCGGAGGAAUAAGCCCCGGCUAACUGCGU
rnacentral:rRNA from 1 species